rnacentral:tRNA from 1 species
GGAGAGGUGCGAGAGCGGCUGAAUCGGGCUCCCUGCUAAGGAGUUGUGCGGGUGACUGCACCGAGGGUUCGAAUCCCUCCCUCUCCG